UACGUAGGGGCCUAGCGUUGUCCGGAUUCAUUGGGCGUAAAGAGCUCGUAGGCGGUUCGGCAAGUCGGGUGUGAAAACUCUAGGCUCAACCUAGAGACGCCACCCGAUACUGCUGUGACUUGAGUCCGGUAGGGGACCACGGAAUUCCUGGUGUAGCGGUGAAAUGCGCAGAUAUCAGGAGGAACACCGGUGGCGAAGGCGGUGGUCUGGGCCGGCACUGACGCUGAGGAGCGAAAGCGUGGGGAGCGAACAGG
rnacentral:rRNA from 1 species